UUUCACAUUGUCAACCUAGAGUCGGUCUCAGCAACAUCCAAACUUUUGCAAAGUUGGAUGUGCAAAUUGGGCUGUAAAAUGAAAGCGUUUUAGCUGAUUACUAGCAAUGCGGAUGGAGAAAGUGUUUGUGUCAGCCUGGGGGCGGUGCAGGCAGCGCAGAAUCUACUUGGAAGGGACUGUUCUCACUUGUCUACAUCACAAUGUGAGGACCCACUUGUUUUCAUGGGUUGGGAGGGGCUGGCUCUCAGAGCGCAGGUUUUUAGAGGAAUACUCAGAAAUGUGUGAACAGAUCAAAUACCGCUUUGGGGUUUCUUCAAGGAAAUGUUAAAGUAAUCAACAUUAUAUUACACUUUAAAAGCUCAAAAAUGAAUUUCGCAUGGCAUGAACUCUUUAAAUUCACUAAAAACAACAAUUCCCAGAGCCCCAACCCUGUCAUAUUUAGUUUGAUUGAAAAGCUCCAAAUGUCAUCUAUAGUUACCAAAGCAGUUAUUUCAGUAGUAAGUAGUGGUUGGGCAACAUUCAGGUUUAGAAAUGUCCUUUAAAUUAGGCACAUUUGCAUUGCUUGUAGUCAGGAGGUUUAUACAAAGAGGCAAAACAGUUUAGAAUUAAAUGCUGUUGGAAAAUUAAACCGAUGGCCUAUUUCCAUUUUUUAAUAAGUCUUUUAGUCAAAGCAAGUUUUUGUGGGUAAAUAAAUUCAACAAUACCCAGGUAUUUAUCCAAAAUUACUUGAAUUGUUUCAACAGCCUCAGUCAGUUAAUAAAAAGAAAUAAAUUGAAUGCUCAGUAAAGUAAAUUGUACUGGUACUUUACAGAAAAAUGAAAAGCACAUCUCAGACCUUCUGUCAAUUUGACUUUUUGUAGGCAUCCUUUCAUUUUUGUGCUUUUUUAUGUGCCCGUCUUCAGCAUUAGAAUGUAAUUGGAUGAAACCUUGAUUUUAUUUCCCACCUGCAUGCAGGUCCAGCAGACAUUCAGGCUGGGUACCAUCUAUUUUGAAUUGAUUUCCGGAAACAGACGCCAGAAAAUGAGGAUCCUCGUCUGUCUGAGGAUGAAAUUGUUCCUCCUGCAUGUUCCCAUGGAACUCCUCCUGUGUUUGCAGGGACCAGAUGAAUGGAACUUUAGUGGAGUGGAUAAAUCUUUCCUUGUGUUGGAGAAAGCUGCUCCUCCGUGCACACAGUGGGGAAGGUUACAGAUGAAGCUGAGCUUGUCUGUUCCAACGUGGUGUUCUGCAGCCAUAACCUCUGUAAAAAGAGAACUGGUUGGAAAAAGAAAAGUCCUGUUAUGAAGGUUUCCAGUUGAAAACCAGAAGAUUUUCCUAAAGGUUUACUUACAUCCGUCCAUGUUUUACAACUCCAUCCCUCUCCCUGAGCUCCAUCCUGCAGACUGUCUGGAUCCGUCUUCAGAAAACAGCUGCACACUCCCCAACCAGGCCAUCAUCUCCAAAUGUGAACGUUAGCAAUUAAUUGUCCACAGUCUAUACCCUUUAUUGGAAUUUCAUUAGUUUUAGCCCAGAACAUUCUGUUUAUUAUUAUUUUUUAAUAAUCUAGGUUUCAGAAAGAAACAAUAACUGGCACGCAGUGACUGUUGUUCUUCUGGUUAGGUCCUCCAAUGAGUCAAAUUGUUGUACUUUAGUCAGAUGUCUCCAUUAACACGAACCACAUGCUGCAAAGAACAUGAGGCAGAACUAAGGAACACCUAAGAUCCCUUGGAACACUGAGUGCUUUUCAUUAACAACUAUAUACAUCUAAAUACACGGUUAAAUUCUGACCUAAACAAGAUCACCAAAGGGAUUCAGAGAAAUAGAAGAGGACCACAUUUACUAUCACUAUUUCCUGUCAAACUGCUCUGGUCCAGUGUUCAGAGAAGAAAGGGAAGGGAAGAAAGAGAGGGAAAGAGCUCUCACAGCACACCUGUGAAGUGUGCACCUGCGCUAUGUGCCAGCACUGAAAUGGUGCUGACCCAUUUUUUCCUGCUCUCUAGCAGCAACAGACAGCUUGCAUCCUGUCACUUGAGGGAAUUUCUUCCCUUGGGUGACAAAUUGAAAAAAAGGGCACUUUGGAUAUCUAAAUUAAUGAUAAACAUUUGAAAGGAAAUUAAGAUUAAAAAGAGAAAGGAAGGCAUGAAGUUUAAUGCAUAAAACAUGAAGGAAUCUUUUUUUUAAGAAGAAGAAGACAAAAAUGGAACUUUUUAAAAGAAUAAUAAAUAAAUAAAACCCUUUUUGGUUGUGUUUUCUUCGUCGAACAAGAAAGUAAUCAAUCCAAGGGAUAGAAGACAAGCAUGAAGUAGUCUAAACACCUACUAUUUUUUUUAACAAUAAUGUUGAUAUUGAUGAUGUUGUUGAGCUGCUGCCACAACCAAUUUCCCUCAUGGAAUGAAUAAAGUAUC